AUUGAACGCUGGCGGCAGGCCUAACACAUGCAAGUCGAACGGUAACAGGAAGCAGCUUGCUGCUUUGCUGACGAGUGGCGGACGGGUGAGUAAUGUCUGGGAAACUGCCCGAUGGAGGGGGAUAACUACUGGAAACGGUAGCUAAUACCGCAUAACGUCGCAAGACCAAAGAGGGGGACCUUAGGGCCUCUUGCCAUCGGAUGUGCCCAGAUGGGGUUAGCUAGUAGGUGGGGUAACGGCUCACCUAGGCGACGAUCCCUAGCUGGUCUGAGAGGAUGACCGGCCACACUGGAACUGAGACACGGUCCAGACUCCUACGGGAGGCAGCAGUGGGGAAUAUUGCACAAUGGGCGCAAGCCUGAUGCAGCCAUGCCGCGUGUAUGAAGAAGGCCUUCGGGUUGUAAAGUACUUUCAGCGGGGAGGAAGGGAGUAAAGUUAAUACCUUUGCUCAUUGACGUUACCCGCAGAAGAAGCACCGGCUAACUCCGUG
rnacentral:rRNA from 1 species